GGAUGAUUCAUGUUCUUAGAAGCACGUAUGAAUUGUCUCUGGUGGAACCCCAUUGAUUGUCAUUUGGGGACAGAUGGCCGCAUCAUAUCUAAGCUCACCAGGGCAUUCCCGUCUCCUCUGCGCUGGCAGUCUGAAGUUUUACUGGCUUCCUCAUUGCCUCGGAAGGCCUUAGCCAGCUUCAUGUGAGUACACUUUAACUUUGGAAUGGAGAUGUCUACAAAGCCACUUGCCACAUGGCUGAGGACAAAAUGCUACCUGAUUCCAGGGAGCCUCAGGUGAUUUUACAGCUUGGUGCAGGGAGUUUCAGUGAGUCCCACAGCAAAUCCUGGAGUGGAGCUGAAUCCGAGCCAGAUUUUCCUGUGAGAGAACUGUUUU
rnacentral:lncRNA from 1 species